GAAAGUUCUCGAGGCUUCUUUGCAAUGCCCGGGGCCCGGCUUGGAGCCGCCUGGGGCAGCGGGAGGUUUCUGCUCGCGGCAGGGAUGAGCUUUAAGGUCUCCCCCCAAGCCGGUCUGGGAUUUUGGGGUUUUCCCUUUGGUCCCAACCGCGGUGCACGGGACUCCCUGCGUGCCACGGGAGCCGCGGGGGCACCGCCGCGCAGGCGGAUGGCCGAGGAACGCCCGGGAAAAAUCUGAAUUUUGGAAGCACAUGGCAUCUCCCAGGAUCGGCCCCAGGAAAUGGAACAAUAAUGGAGGACUUAAUUUUCCCAUCUGUCAACUCAUCCCGAACAAAUUGUGCGUCCUUCUCUUCGGAGUGAAAUCUCAGCUAAAUUAAAAGCUCUGCCCUGAGCCACCCUGGAGGCUCCAGGGUGCAGAACCCCGACUCUGUGAUGUGGCAAAGGCCACGCCCGGAGAGAGACCGGUAGGAAUUUGGCUCCGGAGCUGCUUCCAUCGGAAAACAAAAAGGGUUUCUGCGACGGCUCGGGACGAGCGCCAGCUCCAGGGCACGAACCCUUCUCAGACCGUGGUAACCGCGGGAGAUUCCUCACGAGAUCCCCUCCAAGCCCGCAGCAGCUCGAGUGCCAGGUGGUGGCAAAUCCCGGGAAAUCGGGGCAAAUCGGGAUCCUUUCCUCCUCGUCUGGCGGCUUCUCCCCUGGCGAGGCAGAGCACCGGGAAACCGCGGAGCGAUCCUGCCGGGAUGUCCAGAGGAGCUCGGGGAACUUCCCACAUGGAAAACGGAGGGGAAGAGGCAGCUCCUGCCCCGAGCUCCGGCGCCGGGAGCUGCCGGCGGCUCCAGCUUCGGAGGGGAUCAGCUCCGAGGGUUUUUGCUGGCCCGUGCUGCAGCAGGGAUGAGCGACGGUGUCAAAACAGCGGAGACGGCGUCACACAACCCCCGUGGGGUCGAGGUUCCGCUUUCCAGCCCGGAAAGAUGUCGCUCCGUUGGGGAGCAAACGGGCAAAAAAAACCAAGAAAAAGAUAAUAAUAAUUUAAACAAUCUCAUUUUGUGCGCUGCAGACAAAAAGCUCUUUGUGCCCGGAGCUGACAACGACAAAUAGAGAGGAACCUGUUGAUCUCGGGGAGAAGCGGAGGAUUGUGGCGAGAAGAAGACCGUGGCCGUUCGUCCGGCCGGCCGCUGAAACGCUUCAGGCAGGGUUUGCUCGGAGAGACGCCGGC